rnacentral:rRNA from 1 species
UACGUAGGGGGCGAGCGUUGUCCGGAAUUACUGGGCGUAAAGGGUGCGUAGGCGGCCUGAUAAGUCAGAUGUGAAAUACCAGGGCUCAACCCUGGGGGUGCAUUUGAAACUGUCGGGCUUGAGUGCAGGAGAGGAAAGCGGAAUUCCUGGUGUAGCGGUGAAAUGCGUAGAUAUCAGGAGGAACACCAGUGGCGAAGGCGGCUUUCUGGACUGUAACUGACGCUGAGGCACGAAAGCGUGGGGAGCGAACAGG